rnacentral:lncRNA from 1 species
UUUUUUUUUUUUUUUUUUUUUUUUUUUUUUUUUUUUAAGAAGAAAGUAGAUUUGUUCUCUUGAGAUUGGGGAUAACUUUUGUCAGGGAUCCAUUGCCCAUGACCUAAUGGCUUCUGAAAUGAAUGUGUGGUUCCAGACCCAAUUCUGUCUUAGAGAAACAUAUGCAGCACAGGCAAUAUGCUACGGGGAGCUCAGCAAAGAGACCAAAAGAUCUCAUCUCCCUUCUCACUCUGAGAAUUGGCUCUCUGUAGCACAACAGGGACACUGGCACAGAAACCUGUUGCUGCCUAUUUUGGGAUUUGUAGAAUAUAUGUUUCCAAGGCAAUUAAUAAUUCUGGCAUAUACAGAAGGUGUUAAGUGCAUUUACAAAGUCAAUUAGCAAUACAGAUUUGCAUGCCAAGCUUUAGCCAAUAAUUGCUACAGGCAUGCCAUAAACUUAAAUUCUGAGAGAAAGUGCCAGCCCUGUGCUAUGGAGCCUAUGCAAACUAUGGCAGAAAACAUUGUUUUGAAGUCAGCUUCUAGGAAUCAUCUAAGAUGGCAGUACUUUGGUCCAUUUCUCUAACGCAGCUUUGCAGCUGCUCUAUGCUUUGAACUAACUGUCUGUCCAUUGUCUCUGUGAGUUGCUUAUUUUGACCAUUGCACUCUGCUGCAUUUUCAGCAUUUAGUUACUAUUAGUUAAGCAAGAACUCCAUAAAAACACAUAGAAAACUAGAAUCUUGCAUCUCAUUAAGGGUGUUUCCUAUAGUAAAUUCUUUAUAUUUUGUUCUGUUUUGUAUGCCUUCAAACAUUACAUUCAUAUUACAAGAAAUUAAUUAACCUACCUCAUCACUAGGAAACAUGUCUUCAGCUUUCUGAGUCUAAUAUUCUAGCAGGCAGUUUUCACUGUUCUCAUGCUAAGAUCCCAGAAAUUUCACUUAAAAAUCAUGCACCAGAACCUCACAAGAGCGGCAGAAUUUUAACUUUGUGGAGACUGAGCUCUUGCUGCACAGCAAAGAUCUAAAUCUGAAAGCAAUUAGCUUACUGUGGAGAUCAUGUUAGAUAAUUUCCAAAUCAGCAUUAUUUCUCUUUGAAUAAGAGCGUGACUACUGUCACUCUUUCCAUAUUCUAUUUUGCUACUGAAGUAGGUGCUUAUAAAAUGUACCUGCAAGGAAUAAUGUUGUGGGA